UGUGAACAGGGCACGAGUGAAAACCCGGAUCCAGGCUGGCUCCGCCGGAACGCGCCCCGAGCUCGCCCCCGCGGCCGCCUCCGCCGCUCCUGAUCGGCUCUCCGGGUCUUCCCGGAGCCCAGGCUGGGGCUCUUAGGGAGAAAGGAAGCUGCGCUGCGGUCCGCUGGGCGAACCCUGCUCCGCGCGAGAAUUUUUUUGAUGCCUUCUUAUUUGGAGAAAUCUCCAGCUGCUCUGAUGAUAGCCUAAGAAGACUGCAUGCUGCUUCCUCUCGAUGCCAAGCCAGGCCCUCUCACAACUUCGGAUCUCAGUCCUUCAUGGAGACCUGGUCCCAGCAGGAAUGGCAGUGCAGGAAAUUGGCGCCCAGAUGGUUCUUCCAUGUGAAGUUGUCUCGGGCUCUGGGCUGACAAGAGAACACCUGGUAACCAGGUUAGCCCUCUGUCAGCCACCCAGGGCAGGGCAGCAUGGUACAGAUUCAGAGGAGGAAGCUUUUGGCAUCUUGCCUGUGCAUCACAGCUACCGUCUUUCUGCUUGUCACACUCCAGGUCAUGGUUGAGCUGGGGAAGUUUGAAAGGAAGGAGUUGAAAAGUUCCAGUUUGCAAGAUAGACAUACAAAAAUGGAGGAAGCACCUACGCAUCUUAAUUCAUUUCUUAAGAAAGAAGGAUUGACCUUCAACAGGAAAAGAAAAUGGGAAUUGGAUAGCUACCCCAUUAUGCUCUGGUGGUCCCCGCUGACGGGGGAGACUGGGAGGUUAGGCCAAUGUGGAGCAGAUGCUUGUUUCUUCACCAUCAACCGGACCUACCUGCAUCAUCACAUGACCAAAGCAUUCCUCUUCUAUGGUACUGACUUUAACAUAGAUAGCUUACCUCUGCCUCGGAAAGCCCAUCAUGACUGGGCUCUUUUUCACGAAGAGUCCCCGAAAAACAAUUAUAAGCUCUUUCAUAAACCAGUGAUCACCUUAUUCAACUACACUGCCACGUUCAGCAGGCAUUCCCACUUGCCACUAACUACCCAAUACUUGGAGAGCAUUGAAGUCCUGAAGUCACUCCGAUACCUAGUUCCUUUGCAGUCCAAAAACAAGCUUAGAAAAAGACUUGCUCCACUGGUGUAUGUACAGUCAGACUGUGACCCACCAUCAGACAGGGACAGCUAUGUUCGCGAGCUGAUGACUUACAUCGAGGUUGAUUCCUAUGGUGAAUGUUUACGAAACAAAGACCUCCCUCAGCAGCUGAAAAAUCCAGCCUCUAUGGAUGCCGAUGGCUUUUAUAGGAUCAUUGCACAGUAUAAGUUUAUCCUAGCUUUUGAGAAUGCAGUUUGUGAUGACUACAUCACUGAGAAGUUCUGGAGGCCACUGAAACUGGGGGUAGUCCCUGUAUAUUACGGAUCCCCCAGCAUCACAGACUGGCUUCCAAGUAACAAAAGUGCUAUUCUUGUAUCAGAAUUUUCUCACCCCAGGGAACUGGCAAGUUACAUCAGACGACUGGAUUCUGAUGACAGAUUGUAUGAGGGCUAUGUAGAAUGGAAGCUGAAGGGUGAGAUCUCUAACCAGCGACUUCUGACAGCUCUCAGGGAACGGAAAUGGGGAGUGCAAGACGUCAACCAGGACAAUUACAUCGAUGCAUUUGAGUGUAUGGUGUGCACCAAGGUGUGGGAUAAUAUCAGGCUUCAGGAAAAGGGCUUACCACCCAAAAGAUGGGAGGCAGAAGAUACCCACCUGAGUUGUCCAGAGCCCACAGUGUUUGCUUUCUCACCACUCCGGGCUCCGCCUUUGAGCUCUUUGCGAGAGAUGUGGAUAUCCAGCUUUGAACAAUCCAAGAAAGAAGCCCAGGCACUAAGGUGGCUGGUUGAUAGGAAUCAAAACUUUUCAUCUCAAGAGUUUUGGGGCCUAGUAUUCAAGGACUGAUUUCAAAAAUGAUCAGAAUGAAACAGACUAGAGCCUUCUUGAGGUUUAUUUUCUAGGUUGCCUUAAUAUUUGAACGUAAUAGCUAUUCUGUUGAUUAUUCAUCAGGAUAAUAAUUAGUUGCUGCAGUACUCAUAAUGAGCCCUUUCAAAGAAUAGAUGCAAAUUACACUUAGGGGUUGCCUCUAUAUUUUUUAUACUAAAAAAGGAAAUAUUUCUUAUGGACACUGGUUGUCUUCCAUGUCCAUGUCUGCGGACCCACAUACUUACUGCCUUUUGUGGAAAUUCACCUAGAGUGAGUACUUUCCUUGUGCAAUGGAGGGAGAUGAUCUAGAUGUAGAUUCUUGAUACUCACCUCACUCUCAACAGCUUAUUGGUAUUUGGCAAACCUGGUGUCCUGCAGCCGAGCAUGAAGAUGAAAUACAUUAGAACUUGGCAAUGAGAGAUCCCGUCUGUUGGUUCCAGGGAUGUAAGAUGAUGUGCAACCUGUCAUGGUGGCAGCUACAGACAUUCAGUUUGUGAGCAUUUCCUGUCAUUUCGGAUCCUGCUAUAGGGAAGGUUCAGCUGUCCUGUCUGGGGCAUCUACUGGAGCAUCUCAGAAGACAAGGAGGAAAACACUGGCUCACGUUUUCUUUCCAUGUGAGGGAGGGGAGGCUUCUAGAUGAUACUAAAAGCCUGUUGCCACUGUUGUGUCAUGGUUUCCAUUCUUCAUCAUGGAAAGCCACAAGCCUCAGAAGGCAGCCAGAAGACAGGCAGAGUCUGUGAUGCUCAUGUCUGUGUCAUGGCAUGAGGGAGAGUUGAUGAGUGCUUCCUUAGCAUCAGCUCCCAUUGUAUUGAAGGCUGUGCCCUUGGUGUGCUUAGCUGUGAGCAGUGUCUUCAUUAGGAAGCUCUGGCUGGGCUUUGUCAGCCAGCAUGUGAGAAAGGAGAACCAAAACCAGUACCUCCUUAUAGAAGCCAGAAGGAUCACAUUGGGUGAGAGAAGGUGUCUAUAACUGGGUUCUUCCCAAUCCCAGCUCUUUCAUUAACUAAAUAUGAUCUUGGACAUAUCUCUUAACCUCCAUGGGCCUUAGUUUUUGCAUCCAAAAAGAAGUGAUUGGGCUGGCUUUGGGAGGUUUUUUCUUUUUUUUUCCCCUGUGUAACAUUCUUAAUUGUUCAUCAACAUUUAAGAAAUUUAAUUUUGUUGAUGUUUUUACUAAAGAGGGUAACAAACUAUUUUGGAACCACUGUAUAUUAUUCAAGGGAAGCACGCUGUUUGGAUGAAGGAGCAUACUUAAUGGGUAGUAUUGAGGAUGAAAGGGAAUUUCUUGCUCUGCCAUUGUAUUUGAUAAUAUUAAAGAAAUAAAGACUGGAAAGGGGGAUUCCUUGUUAAAGGUCAGAUUUUAAAUUGCAUAUAAAAUGAAGUGAGUUGUGUUUUUUUGAACCCUCAAAAGAAAGCCUGAGAGGUGAUUUAUGCCUCUGGCAAGAUAUUAUCAUGAUAACUUCAGUUCUUCCCCAUAAAUGCCUUAAGCAAAUACCCAGUGCUUAUGUGCUGUGUGUAUGUCUUAAACCUUAACUUUUCAUGAAAUCUCGUUCCAUCUUAGUUCUUCAUCAAGUCCAUAGAUAAAAUCCUCUCUAAGCAUUUCUGAAGUAUUUAUCCCUGAACAAGUUUAGUGAAAUAAAAUCAUUAAUCUGUGUUGAUCCCAUUUUGCCAUACCUUUCCCUUUACCUCACUGUCUCCGUUUGUGAAAUAUUUUAAGAAAGGAACCUCCCUCACAGGACUGUUGUGAGGAAUGCCUCAUGGCUGUGAAGGAGUUUGUACAAUGCAACAUUUUGCUUAGUCCUUCAGUACAUUUUACUUGGAUUGUUUUCAAGAACUUCAUUUUUUUUUGAGACGAAGUCGUGCUGUAUCACAUAGGCUGGAGUGCAGUGGUGCGAUCUCAGUUCACUGCAACCUCCACCUCCUGGGUUCAAGUGAUUCUCCUGCCUCAGCCUCCCAAGUAGCUGGGAUUACAGGCGCCUGCCACCGGGCCCGGCCAAUUUUUGUAUUUUUUUUUUUUUUUUUUUUUUUUUUAGUAGAGAUGGGGUUUCAGCAUAUUGGCUAGGCUGGUCUUGAACUCCUGCCCUUAAGUGACCCACCCACCUCGGCCUCCCAAAGUGCUGGGAUUAUAGGCAUGAGCCACUGUGCCUGGCCAUUCAAAGACUAAUUUUUUAAAGCAAUAUGACAAAAUGGUCAGAAGCCUUUUCAGAAAUGUUGGAGAAAAUGAUCACUAAUGCUAGUUAAUAGUCUUCACCUAAAAAUGACUGCAACUUUGACCCUUGAUCAUAUAGCAAAUAUAUUUUGGAAGCUGAAUGCUGACUGGCUUCUUUGUUGCUGUUAAGGACUAGAUUCUAGUAACCAGAAUAUCAGUUGGGGUCAUUAUCAUUGUUAGUAACAGAUUGGAAACAUAUAGUGUUCUAUGCAUUACUCAGAAAUAAAAGACAUAAGCAAAAAUGAACAUCAUUCCUUUGGCCACACAUUGUAUAUUACACUUAGAAGAACCUGCUCAAUAUCUAUAAAAGACUGUAUGAAUCCAAGCACAGUGCCGACCUGCCCAGUAAAAUGCCCAGUAAAAUGUGCAUUAAAAAAGUCAUUGAUAGGACAUAAGUCCUGCUAAAGAUGACAAUUCAUUAGGAGCUCAGGCUGCUAUAACAGAAUACAAUAGACUGAGUGGCUUAUAAGCAACAGAAGUUUAUUGCUCAUAGUUCUGGAGGCUGGGAAGUACAAGAUCAAGGUGCUAGCAGAUUUAUUGUCUGGGAGAGCCCACUUCCUGGUUCAUAGAUGGCUAUCUUCUUGCUGUGUGGCAGAAGGGGUGACAGAGCUCUCGGAAGUCUCCACCAUUAUGACCUCACUCUCCAAAGUCUCCUCCUCCUAAUGCCAUCACAUUGGGGGUUAGAAUUUUAACAUGAAUGUUGGGGAAACACAGAAUUCAGUCUGUAGCAUCAGUAUAGAGUUAAUUUUCAGUGAAUUAUGUUUAUUACCCUUAAAGCAAGAGUACAACUUUGGAUAAGUGACAUAUAUCUUCCUUGGAAUCUUCAAAGUAUACCAUUUAGAAAUUAAUAGACCAAGAAUAGUGAUGGUUAGUUUGUUUCAAGUAAUUUUGCAAUCCUGAAUGUUUUACAAAUAAUUUUCUUUAGGAAAUUUCUUUCAAUUUUUAUUGUUAAUGGUAAUAUCUUUACUGUGUAAUUCUAAUAUCAGCAUAUAUCUUGUUGUCUUUGAUUACAGACAUAAAAAUGCCUGAAAAACUCAAAGGGGAUAUGGAAUGAUGACUCUAAGAAAUAUCUAGUUUUAGUUGCUACUCUGCAACAUACUGUCUUUAUUAUCUUGGUCAAGUUAUUUGGCCUUUCUAAGAUUCAGUUUGCUUAUCUGUAAAAUGGAUGUUAUAAUAUCCAACCUCCUUGUGAGGUUAUUGUGAUGAUUAAAUAAGCUAGUGUUCAGUUAGCUCAACAGAUGCUUGUUGUAGUGGUUACAGCUAUCUGUGGUCAUUACCGUUUUGUGUUUGAAGAGCUUGAUUGAGAUUUGUCCAGAAAAAGGGAAUCAUUGAUGAUAGUACCUGGGGUGGUACACAUUUAUUGUGUUACAAAAUAGGCAUUGUACUAGGUGCCAUUGCUAAUAGGAAUAAGACACAGGAGAGAGAGGUGUGAAGGGUUUUGAGGAGGGCUUUUUGAUAUUUUGAUGGUAUUAAAACCAAGGACUGAGGAAUGCUUAAAUUAUUCUCUGACUCUUCCCACCCUCCGUGGGAUUUCUGGUGGAGUUUUGCACAAAGCUCUCAAUAGGAUAAUGAGACUCAAAUAGCCUCUUUAUAGUAGCUUUGCAAACCACAUAAAUGCAGUACACUGAUUUCUUGUAUAAGCUGGAUCUGAGCAUAUUAUUUAGAUUUGAAGUGUAACUAGGAGAGGAUCUUUUACUGCUUUUCCAUUUCCCAAUUCUGAAUCUUGGGACUAGUCUAUUCAAUGUGCUUACAAUAAGAAAGAGGAGAGAAAAUUGCCUAGGUCUGUAGGUCUUGACCCUGCUUGCUCAUACUGAAGAUCAACUGAAGAAGGAGAAGAAGAGGAACCUGAGCAGCCUUUCUCCUAGGAGACAAGCCCUCUCUUGCUCUCCAUGUGAUAUGGAUGCAAGAAUAUGGAGUACAAUGCAUGGGAGCUUACUUUUAAGUCAUAUUAACCUUUCUCACUAGUAAAAUGUGGCCUCAUCAAUAUCCUGGAAUUCAACCAAUUAAUUUAGCAACACCAUUGGUGCUGGUAGUAGGCCCAAUUAAGGAGAUCGGCAAAGGGCAGAGGUGUUUGAGGAGAAGCGACUCUUUAGGAUUAUUGUCCUCUUGAGUCAUUGGGCUUAACAGCCAAGGCUCUGGUCAGUCAGAGGUGUGGCUGUAUCCCAAAGAGGAUAUGACCAGUCAUGACCAGCAGAGACUUUCUUUUAUCUUCCUGAGGCUUCUUCUCUGCUAUAUACCCUUGCCCCUUUGUAUCCUCCUGGAACAGUGACACGAGCAGUUAAAUUACUGUCUCUAAGCCUCUGAAAUGAGUCAGAACUGGAAUUGAUUAAUGCCUCCAAGGGCAUUUUGAGCAUUAGGUCAAAAAUUUAUUGUUCAUUUUAUUUCCCAUACAAACCGUAACCACAUCAUCCAACCCAGUUUACCAGAGAAGAUGAUUCAACUAGCCCAAAUAGGCCAUUAUGAAUAUUUGAAAUUUUAUGCUUCUAAAUUAAAAAAAAAACUGAUUAUGAAAGUAAUUAUAUUUAAAAACCAUUACUGUAGAUAGGGGGUAAUAGUAAUACUUUUGGGUCAGGAUAUUAUCCCAAGAGCUUUUGGAAUGAAUGUAACGUAAGUUGCUUCUUAUAUAAACGGAGUAAAUUCAUCUCAUGAGUCUGCUCAUGGGGGAAAAAAAAAGCCAGUUUUACCUAAGAAUGCCCUCAGUGAAGCAAUAAAAAUAUGAAUUUUAUUAAAUCUUGACCUUUAAGUGCAUGUCUUUUAUUUAUUUAUUUACUUAUUUAUUUAUUUAUUUAUUUAUUUACCAAGACCAGCUCGGUUGGGGAGACCUAACCCAGCGGCGCUAGAGGAAUUAAAGACACACACACAGAAAUAUAGAGGUGUGAAGUGGGAAAUCAGGGGUCUCACAGCCGUCAGAGCUGAAAGCCCCGAACAGAGAUUUACCCAUGUAUUUAUUAAUAGCAAGCCAGUCAUUAGCAUUGUUUCUAUAGAUAUUAAAUUAACUAAAAGUAUCCCUUAUGGGAAAUGAAGGGAUGGGCCGAAUUAAAGAAAUAGGUUAGGGUAGUUAACUGCAGCAGGAGCAUGUCCUUAAGGCACAGAUCGCUCAUGCUAUUGUUUGUGGCUUAAGAAUGGCUUUAAGCGGUUUUCUGCCCUGGGCGGGCCAGGUGUUACUUGCCCUCAUUCCGGUAAGCCCACCACCUUCCAGCGUGGGUGUCGUGGCCAUCACAAACAUGUCACAGUGCUGCAGAGAUUUUGUUUAUGGCCAGUUUUGGGACCAGUUUAUGUCCAGAUUUUGGGGGACUUGUUCCCAACAUUUAUUUAUCUAUCUAUCUAUCUAUCUAUUUAUUUAUUUUUAUUUUUUGGUAGAGACAGGGUUUCUCCUUGUUGGCCAGGCUGGUCUCAACCUCCUGACCUCAGGUGAUCCACCCACCUUGGCCUCCCAAAGUACUAGGAUUACAGGCAGGAGCCACCAUGCUCGGCCAGUACAUGUCUUUUUAAUAUUCUGUGUGACAAAAAUAAGAGUAAAACACUUGUGCUACACAUCAUAGUGUAACAGGAGUUUCACAGUGCUUGUGUGAUUGAGUUGUGAGCUGAACUCGCUGCUUUUUCCAUGGAAUACUAUUUUUAAAAUCUGACAAACUAUGCUUACUCGGUCUUGUGUUUUUGUCAAUAAUUUUCGUGAAAACAAAGUGAGCCUGUCACUUUCAGAGACAGAAUUUGUUGCCAAUGAUAAAAAUCUCAGCUUGCAAGUGAAAAGUGAAAUUUUGGAAAAUGAAUAUCCACCACAUUGAGCUUGACAACUUCGCAAUACUUAAAAGACUUUCCUGAGGAGAUUGGUGAUAAUAUUAACAAAUGUUACUGUUGACACUGAAUAAAUGCAGAAAUAAUGACGUGGAAUAAUGUUUUUAGUUUGUUUAUCAUUUGUUUUUAUAAUUCUGAAGAAGGAAGUGUUAAGUACCGGAGACAGCAAUUUUUACAAGUUAAAUACUUUUUUUUUUUAGUUGAAAAGUUCUAUAAGUGAAGUUUUUAAAAUAUACUUUGAGUUCUAGGGUACAUGUACAUGAUGUGCAGGUUUGAUACAUAGGUAUACAUGUGCCAUGUUGGUUUGCUGCACCCAUCAACUCAUCAUUUACACUAGAUAUUUCUCCUAAUGCUAUCCCUCCCACAGCCUCCCACCCCCCACAGGCCCUGGUGUGUGAUGUUCCCCGCCCUGUGUCUAAGUGAUCUCAUUGCUCAAUUCUCACCUAUGGGUGAGAACAUGCGGUGUUUGGUUUUCUGUCCUUGUGAUAGUUGCUGAGAAUGAUGGUUUCCAGCUUUGUCCAUGUCCCUGCAAAGGACAUAGACUCAUCCUUUUUUAUGGCUGCAUAGCAUUCCAUGGUGUAUAUGUGCCACAGUUUCUUAAUCCGUCUAUCAUUGAGGGACAUUUGGGUUGGUUCCAAGUCUUUGCUAUUGUGAAUAGUGCCACAAUAAACAUACAUGUGCAUGUGUCUUUAUAGUAGCAUGAUUUAUAAUCCUUUGGGUAUAUAUGCAGUAACGGGAUGGCUGGGUCAAAUGGCAAUUCUAGUUCUAGAUCCUUGAGGAAUUGCCACACUGUCUUCCACAAUGGUUGAACUAAUUUACACUCCCACCAACAGUGUAAAAGCAUUCCUAUUUCUCCACAUCCUCUCUAGCAUCUGUUGUUUCCUGACUUUUUAAUGAUCGCCAUUCUAACUAGCAUGAGAUGGUAUCUCAUUGUGGUUUUCAUUUGCAUUUCUCUGAUGACCAGUGAUGAUGAGCAUUUUUUCAUGUGUCUGUUGGCUGCAUAGAUGUCUUCUAUUGAGAAGCGUCUGUUCAUAUCCUUUGUCCACAUUUGAUGGGGUUGUUUUUUUCUUGUAAAUUUGUUUGAGUUCUUUAUAGAUUCUGGAUAUUCGCCCUUUGUCAGAAGGGUAGAUUGCAAAAAUUUUCUCCCAUUCUGUAGGUUGCCUGUUCACUCUGAUGGUAGUUUCUUUUGCCAUGCAGAAGCUCUUUAGUUUAAUUAGAUUCCAUUUGUCUAUUUUGGCUUUUGUUGCCAUUGCUUUUAGUGUUUUAGUCAUGAAGUCCUUGCCCAUGCGUAUGUCCUGAAUGGUAUUGCUUAGGUUUUUUUCUAGGGUUUUUAUGAUUUUAGGUCUAACAUUUAAGUCUUCAAUCCAUCUUGAAUUAAUUUUUGUAUAAGGUGUAAGGAAGGGAUCCAGUUUCAGCUUUCUACAUAUAGCUAGCCAGUUUUCCCAGCACCAUUUAUUAAAUAGGAAAUCCUUUCCUCAUUGCUUGUUUUUGUCAGGUUUGUCAAAGAUCAGAUGAUUGUAGAUGUGUGGUGUUAUUUCUGAGGCCUCUGUUUUGUUCCAUUGGUCUAUAGAUCUGUUUUGGUACCAGUACCAUGCUGUUUUGGUUACUAUAGCCUUGUAGUAUAGUUUGAAGUCGGGUGGCGUGAUGCCUCCAGCUUUGUUCUUUUGGCUUAGGAUUGUCUUGGCAGUGCGGGCUCUUUUUGGUUCCAUGUGAACUUUAAAGUAGUUUUUUCCAAUUCUGUGAAGAAAGUCAUUGGUAGCUUGAUGGGGAUGGCAUUGAAUCUAUAAAUUACUUUGGGCGGCCAUUUUCAUGAUAUUGAUUCUUCCUAUCCAUGAGCAUGGAAUAUUCUUCCAUUUGUUUGUGUCCUCUUUUAUUUCGUUGAGCAGUGGUUUAUAGUUCUCCUUGAAGAGGUCCUUCACAUCCCUUGUAAGUUGGAUUCCUAGGUAUUUUUUUCUCUUUGUAGCAAUUGUGAAUGGGAGUUCACUCAUGAUUUGGCUCUCUGUUUGUCUGUUAAUGGUGUGUAGGAAUGCUUCUGAUUUUUGCACAUUGAUUUUGUAUCCUGAGACUUUGCUGAAGUUGCUUAUGAGCUUAAAGAGAUUUUGGGCUGAAACGAUAGGGUUUUCUAAAUAUACAAUCAUGUCAUCUGCAAACAGGGACAAUUUGACUUCCUCAUUUCCUAAUUGAAUACCCUUUAUUUCUUUCUCUUGCCUGAUUGCCCUGGCCAGAACUUCCAACACUAUAUUGAAUAGGAAUGGUGAGAGAGGGCAUCCUUGUCUUGUGCCCAUUUUCAAAGGGAAUGCUUCCAGUUUUUGCCCAUUCAGUAUGAUAUUGGCUGUGGGUUUGUCAUAAAUAGCUCUUAUUAUUUUGAGAUACAUUCCCUCAAUACCUAGUUUAUUGAGAGUUUUUAGCAUGAACGGUUGUUGAAUUUUGCCAAAGGCCUUUUCUGCAUCUAUUGCAAUAAUCAUGUGGUUUUUGUCAUUGGUUCUGUUUAUGUGAUGGAUUAUGUUUAUUGAUUUGUGUAUGUUGAACCAGCCUAGCAUCCCAGGGAUGAAGCCCACUUGAUCAUGGUGGAUAAGCUUUUUGAUGUGCUGCUGGAUUCAGUUUGCCAGUAUUUUAUUGAGGAUUUUCGCAUUGAUGUUCAUCAGGGAUAUUGGUCCAAAAUUCUCUUUUUUUAGUGUGUCUCUGCCAGGCUUUGGUAUCAGGAUGAUGUUAGCUUCAUAAAAUGAGUUAGGGAGGAUUCCAUCUUUUUCUAUUGAUUGGAAUAGUUUCAGAAGGAAUGGUACUAACUCCUCCUUGUACCUCUGGUAGAAUUCGGCUGUGAAUCCGUCUGGUCCUGGACUUUUUUUGGUUGGUAGGCUAUUAAUUAUUGCCUCAAUUUCACAGCCUGUUAAUGGUCUAUUCAGAGAUUCAACUUCUUCCUGGUUUAGUCUUAGGAGGGUGUAUGUGUCCAGGAAUUUAUCCAUUUCUUCUAGAUUUUCUAGUUUAUUUACAUAGAGGUGUUUAUAGUAUUCUCUGAUGUUAGUUUGUAUUUCUGUGGGAUCGGUGGUGAUAUCCCCUUUAUCAUUUUUUAUUGCGUCUAUUUGAUUCUUCUCUCUUUUCUUCUUUAUUAGUCUUGCUAGUGGUCUAUCAAUUUUGUUGAUCUUUUCAAAAAACCGGCUCCUGGAUUCAUUGAUUUUUUAAGGGUUUUUUGUGUCUCUAUCUUCUUCAGUUCUGCUCUGAUUUUAGUUAUUUCUUGCCUUCUGCUAGUUUUUGAAUUUGUUUGUUCUUGCUUCUCUAGUUCUUUUAAUUGUGAUGUUAGGGUGUUGAUUUUAGAUCUUUCCUGCUUUCUCUUGUGGGCAUUUAGUGAUAUAAAUUUCCCUCUACACACUGCUUUAAAUGUGUCCCAGAGAUUCUGGUACGUUGUGUCUUUGUUCUCAUUGGUUUCCAAGAACAUCUUUAUUUCUCCCUUCAUUUUGUUAUUUAACCAGUAGUCAUUCAGGAGCAGAUUGUUCAGUUUCCAUGUAGUUGUGUGGUUUUGAGUGAGUUUCUUAAUCCUGAGUUCUAAUUUGAUUGCACUGUGGUCUGAGAGACAGUUUGUUGUGAUUUCUGUUCUUUUAAAUUUGUUGAGGAGCUUUACUUCCAAUUAUGUGGUCAAUUUUAGAAUAAGUGUGAUGUGGUGCUGAGAAGAAUGUAUAUUCUGUUGAUUUGGGGUGGAGACUUCUGUAGAUUUCUAUUAGGUCUGCUUGGUGCAGAGCUGAGUUCAAGUCCUGGAUAUCCUUGUUAACCUUCUGUCUCGUUGAUCUGUCUAAUAUUGAGAGUGGGGUGUUAAAGUCUCCCAUUAUUAUUGUGUGGGAGUCUAAGUCUCUUCUUAGGUCUCUAAGGACUUGCUUUAUGAAUCUGGGUGCUCCUGUAUUGGGUGCAUAUAUAUUUAGGAUAGUUAGCUCUUCUUGUUGAAUUGAUGCCUUGACCAUUAUGUAAUGGCCUUCUUUGUCUCUUUUGAUCUCUGUUGGUUUAAAGUCUGUUUUGUCAGAUAGGAUUGCAACCCCUGCUUUUUUUUUUGCUCUCCAUUUUCUUGGUAGAUCUUCUUCCAUCCCUUUAUUUUGAGUCCAUAUGCAUCUUUGCACGUGAGAUGAAUCUCCUGAAUACAGCACACUGAUGGGUCUUGACUCUAUCCAAUUUGCCAGUCUGUGUCUUUUAAUGGGGGCAUUUAGCCCAUUUACAUUUAAGGUUAAUAUUGUUAUGUGUAAAUUUGAUCCUGUCAUUAUGAUGUUCGCUGGUUAUUUUGCCUGUUAAUUGGUACAGUUUCUUCAUAGCAUCAAUGGUCUUUACAAUUUGGCCUGUUUCUGCCGUGGCUUGUACGGGUUGUUUCUUUCCAUGUUUAGUGCUUCCUUCAGGAGCUCUUGUAAGGCAGGCCUGGUGGUGACAAAAUCUCUCAGCAUUUGCUUGUCUGUAAACAACUUUAUUUAUCCUACACUUAUGAAACUUAGUUUGGCUGGAUAUGAAAUUCUGGGUUGAAAAUUCUUUUCUUUAAGAAUGUUGAAUAUUGGCUCCUACUCUCUUCUGGCUUGUAGGGUUUCUGCCGAUAGAUCCGCUGUUAGUCUGACGGGCUUCCCUUUGUGUGUAACUCGACCUUUCUCUCUGGCUGCCCUUAACACUUUUUCCUUCAUUUCAAGCUUGGUGAAUCUGACAAUUACGUGUCUUGGGAUUGCUCUUAAGUGAAGAUUUUAAAAAUCAUUUUUUUUUAAUUUGAAAAUUGGAAUAAGAUAAAAGAUAACCAGAGCUAUCAAUCAAUGAGUGAAAAGAAGCCUUGGUUUUUCAAUUGGGAAACACGGAAAAAAAUGUAUUCAGGAACAUGAAAAAUGCCUUAAAAUCCUAACAAGGAAACUAUGAUUAUUUUGCAUUACUCAGAAUAUUAAACUGCCUGAAAUUUAUUAACGUAUUCAAUAUAUUUUUAUUGAGCAUUUACUAUGUGCCAGGAAUUAUUUUGGGCAAAUGGGAUAUAGCAAUGAAUGGAAGUCGCAAAACUGCUGCCACCACAGAGCUUACAUUUUAAUUAUAGCGGGGAAUUAGAACAGAAAUGCUUUAGCAAAAUGUAAACCACAUCAAGGAAGCUUUUAUUUCUCUGUUUUGUGGAUGCCUCAUAAGAUAAAAUUUAUCUCCUGAAUCUCUGUCACUCUAUUUGAAACAUGAAAUGUGAUACAAAUGGAUUCUAUUUAUAGAGUAUAUUAAAUGGGCUAUAUUAUUAAUGAGAUGUGUUAAAAGUACUAAAAGUUCACAUUUGAAGUGAGCUGGCAAGUCCAGAAUAAGUCCUUUUAAUUUUUAUACCAGUGUUUAUUCCUGUUCCCCGGGAGAGGAGGCAUUUUUUUCUGUCAACACUGGACGAUUUAAGAACUGACUUGGGGGAUGAAAAUAACUAUGGUGAGCCCACAGGAGCAAGCAGUUCUGCUCCAGCCAAUCCACAUCUGUUCACCUUAAGUAGAGAGGCUGGGGUGAGUCAAUAUUUACUCAGCCUUAGUGCCUCAGAAAAGGUGAUGGAUUUUAUCUUAUGAGCUGCUUUCAGUCAUCAUGUAUAUAGUUCACACACCAUUAAUAAGAAGACUCAUUCACCAUGGAAAUAAUCUGCUAGUCUGAGAGAAUGUUGGUCCCUACGACAAGCAUCUUGAAGUAUCAAAGUUUCAUCACAGAUGUUUACUACUUCAUGUUUCUGUGGUCUAAAAUUCACCUCAAAUGUGUAGUUAACCUGUAAGUGAUGAACCACUUCCAUCACUUCCGCAAUAAAAUUAAAACGUGUCUGCUGGGGCACCCCCUC